GCCGGGCAUGGUGGUGCGUGCCUGUAAUCCCAGCUACUCGGGAGGCUGAGGCAGGAGAAUCGCUUGAACCCAGGAGGCAGAAGUUGCAGUGAGCUGAGAUCGCACCACUGCACUCCAGCCUGGAUGACAGAGUGAGACUCUGUCUCAA
rnacentral:SRP_RNA from 1 species